rnacentral:rRNA from 1 species
CCCUUAGAUGUUCUGGGCCGCACGCGUGCUACACUGAACGGUUCAAUGGGUAAGGUAGUGCGAAAGCAUGACCUAAUCUCGAAAUCCGUUCGUGCUGGGGAUAGAAGCUUGCAAUUAUCCUUCUUGAACGAGGAAUACCUUGUAAGCGUGAGUCAUCAUCUCACGCUGAAUACGUCCCUGCCCUUUGUACACACCGCCCGUCGCCCCUACCGAUUGAGUGUUCCGGUGAGGCUUUGGGAGAAUGGCCUCAACAUGAGUUUAUCGUGUUUUGCCGUUUGAACUUAGUCAAACCUUAUCACUUAGAGGAAGGAGAAGUCGUAACA